CAUCCCCCACCGCUUCUCCUCCCGUCCCGAUCCGUUCCCCAGCGCAACAGCCACAGAAAAAGGCGGCGGGCGGGGAGGGGAGGGGAUCCCCUUCCUUCCGCGGCCACCGCUCCCACCAAAGCCAGACGCAACGCAGCGCAGGGACGCCGCGGGCAGGCAGGCAGGCAAUGGGGGCGCACCGGGGCCCAGCGCCAGCGGCGGCGGGCGCGCGACGGCACGGCGCCUGACCCUGACGCCCCCCAGCGUCUCGGCUCCUCCUCCUCCUCGGUGGGGGCGGCUCGCGAUGGGGUCCGGCGUGUUGUCGUCGAGCAUGGCGCUCGCGCUCGCGGGGUUCUGCUGCAGCGUCCUCCUCAUCGCCUUCGUCUGCUCCCGCCUCGCCUGCGCGCUGCUCCGCCGCCGCCGCGCACCACUACUCCUUCGCCGCCGCCCGCCACCCCGCGGGGCCCGGCGGCGGCGGGGGCGGGGGGCUCGAUCCCGCCGCGGUCGCCGCCUUCCCCACCCGCGCCUUCGCCGCCGGUGGCGAUGGCCCGCGCGGCUCCGACUGCUCCUCCGACGCCGAUUCCCAGUGCAUCAUCUGUCUUGCGGAAUACGAAGAGAAAGAUGUGCUACGCACUCUUCCUUACUGCCGCCAUGAUUUCCACAUGGCCUGUAUAGAUUUGUGGUUAGAGCAGAACUCAACCUGCCCAGUCUGUAGAACCUCAUGGCUUGAUAAGCCUGAUAGCGAACACACUGCACCUCCUCCACUACCCAGCCUAGCGAUAAGCCCUCCAAGCUCUCCUGAAUCGUCAAGAUCGGAUCCGUGUCGCUGGCUAUUUGUCAGCACAGGACAUUCAUCCAGGGCAUCGGAGGCUCCUAGACAUGAGCCCGACCAGGAGAAUCAGGUGGCAUCUGCCCCAUCAGUGGAUGGGGCUAACAGCAUGCCAUUGUCUGAAGUUGACCCCACACCUGAAAAUAACAGUCAAACAGUAAGGAAGCAGGCAGACAGAUCUACCCAGCUAGGGCCCUGCAAAUAGCAGCUGCAUUGGGCUUUGGCGUCUCUGUUCUGCACAGAACUGCAGGGCGAAGUUCCUGUGAAAUUUGAAACAUCUGCAAUAGUGGAUGACUGCUUGCUGGAGGUUAGCUUUGAGAGGUUUGUUGUAAAUAUGAGAAAUCAUUCAGGUUUCUUGCUGGAGAAAACAAAAGAGAGCCCUUUUUUCCAAUGAUACUCAAAAUAGCUAAUUGCAUCCAAAGACUUGUCACAUUUUGUGGUAGCCCUAGCCCACAGAGAGAUGAUUGUUACAGCAGCAGUACAUUGUUACAACUGCCGUAGCCGUAGUGAUGAUGGCACGAGCAAAUAGGAUGAAGUAAAUCUUGAUUAGUCCCAUGUGAUGAUAGCAUUUGACACUGACAUGCUUUCUGUACUGGAGAACAAACUGACAAAAGCAUUUGACAUGAACACGCUUCUCUGGGGAUGCAGGAGAUUAGCUGCUGAUGCAGGAGAUUAGGUACGCAAGUGAAAGUUCUUCCGGAACAGAACGAGGACCUGCUGCCAAUCUUGUCAGCGUCUAACUGGGAAUUCUAUGCUACUAUGAUCCAUCAGUGUGCUGAAAAACCCUGAUCCACGGCCACAAGAUCAGAUCCCUGCUACUAUGAUGAAAUCUCUGAUGGAAAGCAAACCCAAUCUUGGAGGGACCUCCACAGAUGCUGAAGAGCAGGAGCAGCAGAUGGCUGCCCACGCACCGUCCCAUGUCGCGGCGAUGACUCAUCCCAGAUUUGUUCAAACCAGCAGCUGCGGCAGCACUGCAUCAGAGCAAGCACAGCUACAGCAACGGAUCGUCUCAUUGCUACGGUUCAGAUACACAUCAUGCUUGUUGCAGUAAAGGCCACGACAGCUCAUUUUCACUCGAUAACAAGCAGACACCAACCAACAAAUAAACACUAAGUGUACACCAACCAAGUCCUUACAAGCUUACAAACUCUGUAGACUCCAGGAACAAUAAAUAGUAAUAGAUUGUUCAGUCUUACAAAAAG